UGGGGAAUAUUGCACAAUGGGCGCAAGCCUGAUGCAGCAACGCCGCGUGAACGAUGAAGGUCUUCGGAUCGUAAAGUUCUGUUGCAGGGGAAGAUAAUGACGGUAACCGGAGAAGAAGCCCCGGCUAACUUCGUGCCAGCAGCCGCGGUAAUACGUAGGUGGCAAGCGUUGUCCGGAAUUAUUGGGCGUAAAGCGCGCGCAGGUGGUUUAGAAAGUCUGAUGUGAAAGCCCACGGCUCAACCGUGGAGGGUCAUUGGAAACUAAUAAACUUGAGUGCAGGAGAGAAAAGUGGAAUUCCUAGUGUAGCGGUGAAAUGCGUAGAGAUUAGGAGGAACACCGGUGGCGAAAGCGGCUUUUUGGCCUGCAACUGACACUGAGGCGCGAAAGCGUGGGGAGCAAACAGG
rnacentral:rRNA from 1 species